rnacentral:rRNA from 1 species
GACGAACGCUGGCGGCGUGCCUAAUACAUGCAAGUAGAACGCACAGUUUAUACCGUAGCUUGCUACACCAUAGACUGUGGGUUGCGAACGGGUGAGUAACGCGUAGGUAACCUGCCUGGUAGCGGGGGAUAACUAUUGGAAACGAUAGCUAAUACCGCAUAAUAUUAAUUAUUGCAUGAUAAUUAAUUGAAAGGUGCAAUUGCACCACUACCAGAUGGACCUGCGUUGUAUUAGCUAGUAGGUGAGGUAACGGCUCACCUAGGCGACGAUACAUAGCCGACCUGAGAGGGUGAUCGGCCACACUGGGACUGAGACACGGCCCAGACUCCUACGGGAGGCAGCAGUAGGGAAUCUUCGGCAAUAGACGAAAGUCUGACCGAGCAACGCCGCGUGAGUGAAGAAGGUUUUCGGAUCGUAAAGCUCUGUUGUAAGAGAAGAACGGGUGUGAGAGUGGAAAGUUCACACUGUGACGGUAUCUUACCAGAAAGGGACGGCUAACUACGUG